UCCUACGGGAGGCGCAGUGCGGAAUCUUGGACAAUGUCGAAAGCCUGAUCCAGCCAUGCCGCGUGUAUGAUGAAGGCCUUCGGGUUGUAAAGUACUGUUGCAGAGAAGAACGAAGCAUCUCCUAUCCGUGCAUGCUAUGACUGUAUCUGCAGAAUAUCCGUCCC
rnacentral:rRNA from 1 species